rnacentral:misc_RNA from 1 species
CGCAACUCCGUCUCUUUUGUUCUUCGAAGCUGCUCUUCCAUUUUCAAUUUUUUCACCUUUGCUUCUUCUCCACUCUCGAUCUUCAUGCUCUCCCUGUUUUUUGAUCUCUCUGUUCUUUCCAAUUAGGGUUUCAAGCUUCAGCUAUCUCGCCAGUUAUUACUCGAAUCUCAAGCUGUUUUUUGGUUUCUUUUCCCCUUUUAUUUUUGAAUAAGACCUAGAUUUCUGCCCACUCUUUUAGGGUCUACAGAUCUACGCAGCUCCUGCUUCUACCUCUGCUGAAUCUCUCCUCUCUUUAAAGAUGUUUUGGAAGCUCACGGCUCUUUCUGCCUCCUCUCCUGUGGAGUCAAUACUAGACAAGGAAAAUUUCACAUUGGAAGAGCUUUUGGACGAGGAAGAAAUAAUCCAAGAAUGCAAAGCUUUAAACAGUCGUCUCAUCAAUUUUAUACGAGAUAGAGCCCACGUAGAGCAGUUAUUGCGGUAUAUUAUUGAAGAACCUCCUGAGGAUGCUGAAAGCAAACGCACCUUCAAGUUUCCCUUCAUUGCCUGUGAGAUAUUUACAUGUGAAAUUGAUGUAAUUCUUAAGACUUUAGCGGAGGAAGAGGAGUUAAUGAACUUACUCUUCUCUUUCUUGGAA